rnacentral:rRNA from 1 species
UCGAGCGAGUGGCGAACGGGUGAGUAACGCGUAGGUAACCUGCCUUGUAGCGGGGGAUAACUAUUGGAAACGAUAGCUAAUACCGCAUAAUGCAGUUGGGUCGCAUGGCUCUGACUGCCAAAGAUUUAUCGCUCUGAGAUGGCCUCGCGUCUGAUUAGAUAGUUGGUGGGGUAAAGGCUCACCAAGCCGACGAUCUCUAGCUGGUCUGAGAGGAUGACCAGCCACACUGGGACUGAGACACGGCCCAGACUCC